CCCAAGGAGUGGACUGAGGGUGCACAUGAAUAGUCUGAGAGCAUUAAUCCUCAUCAUGCUGUGGCUAUGGAAAUUACGCCUUGACAUCAUUUUUCAAAGCCAGUAGCUCAGUAUUUCUGUAUUGAUAGAUGGAAGUUAGUGUUGGCUACUAACAAAAACCCUGGUCACGUGACUGCAAGCACCAAGAGAAAAGGAUGUAACCUAGUCACAAGGCAUUCCUGAUUUGAGGAGUUGACAUCUGUUUAAGUUGUGAGUUUGUCUUCCAUGACACCUCUGGGUCCCUGUUUCAGUGUUUUACCACUCAUGGUGAAAACUUAUUUCCUUUUUUCCUUAAUAUACCCUGAAUUUCCUCUAUUGCAGUUAAUGUGUUUGUCUUGUCCUAUCACUGUGUUUUUCCAAGGAGUCAGAUAGUGUGGUCCAAGUUUCAAUCCUGUGUCUGCCAGAGAUAGUGAAUCUUUUUCCAUGUCUUGGAGACUUUGUUAUUGCAGUUGUCUGCAAGAUAACAUCACAGCACUGUAAGCUCUCAAGAGAAGCAGCUUGCAAAGAAGAGCUGCUUGGGCAGCACAGCAUCUUUUCUAUGUCCUCCCACUGGGUAAUUAAUGGUGGAUAGCAAUAAGGUCACCCUGAAGCCUCGUCCUCUUAAAGCUGAACAAACCUACAGGCGCUCCUUAUUGGUGAUAUUCUCCAGCCCUUGAAAAUCUUCU